rnacentral:rRNA from 1 species
AACGCGAAGAACCUUACCUGGGCUUGAACCGCACAGGACCAUCUUUGGAAACAGAGACUUCCCGCAAGGGACCUGUGUAGAGGUGCUGCAUGGCUGUCGUCAGCUCGUGCCGUGAGGUGUUGGGUUAAGUCCCGCAACGAGCGCAACCCUUACUCAUAGUUGCUACCCGCAAGGGAGAACUCUAUGAGGACUGCUCCGGAUAACGGAGAGGAAGGUGGGGAUGAGGUCAAGUCAGCAUGGCCUUUAUGUCCAGGGCUACACACGUGUUACAAUGCGCGCCACAAAGCGUCGCGAACCCGCGAGGGGGAGCUAAUCGCAAAAAAGCGCGCUCAGUUCGGAUUGCAGUCUGCAACUCGACUGCAUGAAGCCGGAAUCGCUAGUAAUGGCGCAUCAGAACGGCGCCGUGAAUACGUUCCCGGGCCUUGUACACACCGCUCGUC